rnacentral:rRNA from 1 species
CCUACGGGUGGCAGCAGUAGGGAAUUUUGCGCAAUGGGCGAAAGCCUGACGCAGCAACACCGCGUGAAUGUUAAGCCCUUCGGGGUGUAAAGUUCUGUCAAUAGGGACGAAUUUUGACUGUACCUAUAAAGGAAGCACCGGCUCAAUCCGUGCCAGGAGCCGCGGUAAUACGGGGGGUGCAAGCGUUGUCCGGAAUCAUUGGGCGUAAAGCGUUCGUAGGCGGGAAGGUAAGUCUGAUGGUAAAGCCCGGGGCUAAAAUCCGGUUCGGCAUUGGAUACUAUCUAGCUAGAAUGUGGUAGAGGUAAGGGGAAUGCGUGGUGUAGCGGUGAAAUGCGUAGAUAUCAGGCAGAACAUCGGUGGCGAAGGC